GAAAUGAGCUAUAUCUUCCACUGCAAAUUGUACCACCCAGCCUCCCACGAAGCAAGGCCACGGGUGUGCGUGCGGAGACCUUCCCCAGCUGAAGGAAGGGGUAGCUGGAGGAUCUGAGUCCUGAUGGUGCAAACCCCUUUGACCGCAACUUGCUCACCAGCUCACAAGUUUGUAAACCUGCUGCAGACUCCUCACUUCUUAAAUUACCCAUGUGAGAUGAAGCGUGUCCUGAUGUGGUUUCAGCUACAGCAACAGAUAAGGAAAUACAACUAUUUGUUUAAACUCCCGGAGCGGCACAUGGGACCUGUCAUUUGGAGAAAGCACCUCGUUUCCCACGCGUGACCUGUAAUGGAGAAGCUAUCAUGUACCUGCUUUGGCUCCCAGUGGAAGAUGAGGAUAGGUUUCUUCCAAUUAUAUGGUCUCUGUUUGGAUUGCUCCUUGCUAAGAUGACCUUGCAUCAGUCCAGUCAGCAGGAAAUUCCUUGUUCCUUCCCCAAGGUAUCCAUUUAGAGACCUGGACGUCAGCUUAUACUCCCAGCUCACCCUGUCUCCCUUUGCCCCUGGCUGGGCUGAUCCAGGCUGCGUGUGAAGUUUCACUUUUCCCCUGAACUGACUCGAGAAAAAUCAGUUUGCGUUCACCGGGGGGGUCAGAUGCUGAAGGUAGGGGCCUCUUUGAUCCAAAUCCUACGCAGGGAC